CAUACUUGCAUGCACAGAACGCGUAUGAGGAAAAAAUCACACUCAUCCAUCAAAGUCCGUGCACACAUUAACAUACUUACAUGCACACAGCGCGAAGGAUG